rnacentral:antisense_RNA from 1 species
GCUCAGCACGUGGCCCUCGAGGACUUGGCGGCUGCGCGGCUGGCGCGUGAAGAAGUUGCGCAUCAUGCUGUGGGCUGCGCGCCGCUGCACCUUCCAGUGCUCCGAGUAGUGGCCGAAAGCCAUGCUGCGGCCGCCGGACACCACACGGAAGGAGGCGAAGGACGGCCGGUCGGCGAAGGCCGAGCCCUGCUGCACCAGGGCCUGGUGGAUGGCGCGCUCGCCAUUCAGCACCACUAUGGGGCAGCUGCCCAGGCGGAUCUGGAAAACGUCGCCGUAGCGCCGCGCCAGGCGAGCGAACGAGAGGCAGCACUGAGAAGUGAAGGAAUAUUUGGGAGGAUCAGAAGCUUGGUCCUGAUUUUGCCAUCAACAGGAACUUGAUGACUUCAAGGGAGUCCCCAAACCCUGGGUUUCUGUUUUCUCAACUCUAACAUGAGGGGCUAGAUGCAUCUGGUUUAGUUAGUCUCCAUGAUGGUUUAGUUCGUCUCCAUGAUCCUGUGAAUUUCAGAUGUUGAAAAUCUUUGGAAAAGCCCUGAAAGAUGAACAGUGGUCUCAAAUAGUCAAGACCCCCUGCUGGGAGGAGCUAUCCUGCUCUUUGGAA